rnacentral:lncRNA from 1 species
AACACGGUAAACCAAUCACCGUGUCUAGACACGGUAAUUGGUUCACCGUGUUCGAUAGAAAUAUCGCAACAAAAAUGGCUAAGGGUAUAGUAUUUCUAUUGGACACGGUGAACCAUUCACCGUGUCUAGAGACGGUGAACCAUUCACCGUGUUCUCUUAGAACACUGUCUCGAUCUCUAUCUGUAAAUGGAAUUCUAUUGGACAUAGUGAAUGGUUCAGCGUGUCCAAUACAAAUGUAUUAACCACCCCCGAAAAUGGCUAAGUCCGUGUCCAAUACAACUACAGGCCGUAUUUGGCCAAAUAUGGAAGUGAAGGACACGGUAAAUGGUUCACCGUGUCUAAACGCGGUGAACUGUUCACCGUGUUUAGACACGGUGAACGAAUCACCGUGUCUAAUGCAAUACUACCACCUCGGGCGGGAUGUAACUAACAAGAUGAACACGAUGAUUGGUUCACCGUGUUUAGACACGGUGAUUGGUUCACUGUGUUUAAACACGGUGAACCAAUCACCGUGUUCAACUUGAAAACUUGGCCCAGACCCUGCCCGCAUGGCGCUGACGUGGCACUGGCGUGGCAUGGCCAGGGCCAUUUUUGCAAAUAAAUUUUGGACAGGGCUAUUUUUGCAAAUAAAAUUUGUCAGGGGGAAUAAUUCGCAAAAAAGGCCAUAUAUAAUAUAGAGUCCGGUUGCUAUGCUAUCGAUAGCACCAAGCACUUGGUGCUAUCAAUUUUUCUGCCCUUAGGUUAACUUCUUGAUUAUUUUUACCCGUUAUAUUUAUACUAUUCAACCAACCACCCACUCAACCUGGAGGCCGACAUCAUCGUAACCGCACAUUCUUAAUCCAAUAGCUAAAAACUAAUAGCACCAUAGUUUUCGUACUAUUGAAAGUAUUCCGCUAAUUAUAUAUAUUAUUAAUAUAUAUAUAUAUAUAUAUAUAUAGUCUCCUAUACUAUCUAAUAGUACCGGGAUCCGGGUACUAUAGUCUUGUUUUUGAUCUUAGGUAUUCACAAUCAAUGAUCCACACCGUUAAAACUGAUCUAGGUAUUAAUUAAUUUUAGAAAUAAAAUUUUAAUUUUUUCUGACAUAGUUUACUUUAUGAUCAAACCAUUUCAAAUUGUCAUUUUCAAUGGCUACUAUGGCGAGUUUGGAGUUUAAUUGGUGUAGAAAAAUCUAAAUUUCUUCCAAUUUUGAUAGAAAAUACUUAACAAUCUAGAUUAAGUUAACAUUUUUGAUCUUGAAUUUAAAAGAGUCCUAUACUCAAAUUUUAAAGAUUAUUCAAUUUUCACGUCUAUUUUGACAUAAUUUAUUUACUAAAGUAAACGAUUUCGAAAAAAAAAAAAUUUAUUCCUAAGAAUUUCAUAUACCCUAGAUCAUAUUUAACAGUGUGAUCGUGAUUUGAACACCCCAAAUCGAAAACAAGACUAUAAUACCAGAUCUCUGUAUUAUAGAUAGAUAAGUAGCCUAAUAUAUAUAUAUUAUAUAUAUAUAUAUAGUAGGUCUUGUUGUGCUACUAGGCAGUCGAGGCCUCCGUGCUCCUAAGCUGUUUUUGAUGAUGGAGUUUUCGAAUCGAAUGAUCGGCUGCUUAGACUUGAUCUAGCGUAUUUGAAGUAUCUAGAAAAUAAAUUUUGUAAUUUUUCGAUAUCAUUUACCUAGCGAUCAAAAGUGUUUCAAAAUCAAUAAUUUUUAAUGGUUGAUAGUAUACCAUUUGCAAGUUAACGAUGUAGAGUAUUCAAUCAAUAUAAAUUUUGAUAGAAAGUUUUUUUAUACUAUUUAACAAGAUUAAUAUCUCUGAUCGAAAAUUUUAGUGCUAUAUCACCAUUUUUUUGAUAUUUUUAUUUUCAGCCGUUGAUUUGCACCCUUUCGACGCGAGGUAAAUGAUAUCGAAAAUUGCAAAUUAUUUUCUAGAUACUUCAAAUACGCUAGAUCAAGUCUAACGGAGCAGAUCGUCGAUUUGGAAGCUCCAUGACCGAAAACGGCUUAGCAGCACGGAGGCCUCCGUGUUCUAAUAGCAUCAGAAGACCUACCUAAUAUAUAAUAUAAUGUAGUAUACUAUAUAUAUAUAUAUAUAUAGUAGGGCUACUAUACUCUUAUGAGUAUUGGGCCUUUCGUACUUAUAAGUUGUUUUUGAUGAUGGGGCUUCCGAAUCGACGAUCCACUCCGUUAAAUAUGAUCUAGAGUAUUUAAAACUUCUAAAAAAUAAAUUUCGUAAUUUUUCGAAAUCAUAAUAAAGUCCAUCAAACAGCCAUAAAAUGAAUGGUUAAAAUCGAACGACGUCCUAAAAAUGGAUAAUCGGAUUCUUCAAUUUAAGAUUGGAGUUAUUGAUCUUUUUCUAGAUAGUGAAUAAAAUUUUCUAUCAAAAAUUCAACCUAUUAUGAAUCUUUUUCACCAUUAAACUAGCAAGUAUUCCAUUCCGGCCGUUAAAAAUUGUCAAUUUUGUGAGCUUUUGAUCGUAAGGUAAAUGAUGUCGAAAAGUUAUAAAAUUUGAUUUCUAGAAGUUUUAAAUACUCUAAAUAUUGUUUAACGAUAUUGAUCGUCGAUUCGGAAGCUCUAUCAUCGAAAAUAACUUAUGGGUACGAGGGCGAUCGUACUCAUAAGAGUAUAGUAGCUGGACUCUAUAUAGAUAUAUAUAUUUCGAGAUUUUCGAGCCUAAUUCAAGCGAGCCCAGUAAUACCCAAACUCGUUUUGAAAUUAAUUUCGAGCCUAAACUUAGGCUCAAGCUCAACUUGGAAUUAAUUCUAGCCGAGCUCGAGCGAGCCGAAUAUCGAGUCGAACGCGAGUCGAACACAAGCCGGCUUGCUCAUUUGCCAGCCCUAUGACUCGUUCACUACUUAUAUUAUUUAUUUUUUCAAAAACUGAAUCUAACAUAUUAGAUGUCUAUUUUUAUAAUUAUUUUUUUAAAAAAAUUAUUUUUGUAAUUAUAAAAAUUUGUAGGAUCAUUUAAAAAAAAUUCUCCUUAUUUCCUUCUAUGGCAAACCAAGUACGCCUGCGAAAUUCUAUUUAAUUUCACAUAGGACGAUCCAAUACGACAAUAACAACGUACUUCAUUUACGAGGAGCCAAACAUCACUAGUAAAUGAAAAAUAUACUUUGCCACACUACUAGCAUAUUCUAAAAUAAUGUGUAUACUAGUGAAGGACCCGCGCGUUGCGGCGGAACGAUUCUGUAGAAAUAAAUAUAUAAAUAAAAUAAAUAAUAGUAAAAAAAAAGAGUCAAAAAAUUGUAUAAAAAAUAACUAAAAAAUAAACAACUAUUGCUGUAAUAAAAUUAUAAGAAAGAUUACAAAAAAUAAAGACAAAAAUCAUACUAAUAAGAAAUUAUAUAUAAUUAUAUUUAUACUUAUAUAUAUUAUAAUUAUUAUUAUAAUUAUAUAUAAUUUUUAGAAAAAUUGAUUUAUUGUUCUUACAUUUUGCCUCUAUUCUUCUUUUAUCUAUCUUAUCCUUUUAUUUUUAUUUUUUUUUACUUUUUUUAUGUUUCAUUUUUAAAUUUCCUUCAUUAUUUUUUAUAUAUUUUUAAUAAUUCUUUUAUUCAGCUUAAUUAAAAUUUAUAUUGAAUACAAAUAAUUUAACUUAUUUAAAAAUUAUUUAUAUAUUUUAAAUUUUUAUAAAAAUAAAUAAAAAUUUAGAUUGAAUUAAAAAAAUUUAUAAAUUUUUUUAAUCAUAUAUUAAGAGAACAAAUAUAUAAAAAUAAUAUAAAAAAGAAAAGUAGAAGAGACAAAAGAGACAAAAAAAAAAUCCCUUCUCUCUUUUUCCUCUUUCUUCUCCCAGCUGGGCCCCGCCUGGCUCCUCUCCUCCUCCUCUCCUCUCCUCUUCCCACUUCACUCAUCGCCCGCGUCCGCCGCGCGCCGCCGAGCGCCGCCCCCCUGCCGCCGCCGCCGCGCGUCCCGCGCCAUGCUGCGCGCCGCCUCUUCCCUCUCCCUUCCCUCUCCUCAUGCCGGGCCACGCGGUCCCCGCCCCACGUGCCGCUGCCCGCCGCAGCCCGCGAUCGCAAGCCGCAGCCACCGCACCCCGCUACGCACGAGCCGCCGGCCCGCGGCCCGCGUUGCUCGCCCCUGCCGCGCCUCGCUCGCCCACCUGUCCGCCGCGCCCCGCGCCGAGCUUCGGGCGCCUCCUGCCCGCCGCGCCCGCUGUCCGCUCCCAACGGCCCGGCCCGUCGCCGCGUCACGCGCGCCCCGCACUCGCGCCGCUGCACCACGGCCCGGCGGCUCGCCCCUGCCCGUGCCCCACGCUCUGCCACCUGUUCCAAAACUGAAGAUUCAUUAGGUAUGUUAUAGAUAUGUUACACUUGUCUUUAGUCAACGGGCGCCGGUACUAUUCUAUAACUCAUAAUUAAAACCCCGUAAUCUAAUCCACUGCCAGUAUAUUUCUCUCAUCCUUAUCCUUUCCUACGCGUUGACCGACUUCCCCUUCUGCUUUCUCAAGCGGUUCUCUCUCUCGCGCGCAUGUUUUUAUCGGCUUUUUUUUUUAUUCUUUUGUUUACUACCGCGAUUUUUUUUUUUUUUUUGGUUUCUACCGGGCUUUUUUCACCCUUUCGCUGCUUCAGAUGCCGCCUCUUGCUCCCCCUCCCUACCGUGCCACUUCGAUACCUCCUUUGCUUCUUCGAUCCCAUCUACGCCACAUCGCUUCGAUCCUGCUCCCGUCUCUUCGAUUCCAUCUACAAUCCCAUCUAUUGCCUCUCAUGCCGCUUCGAUCCUAUUCCCAUCCCUUCGAUCUCGGCCUCGUCCCUUCGAUCCCUUCUGUUGCCGAUCUGGGUUGCUUCUGUCGCCGCCUCGAUUUUGUGACCAUGUUGCUUAAGAAGGGUUUCUUUCAUGCUGUUUGCAUUAACUGUCAGAAUUUAUAUAAUGAGGCAUGGAUGGUUUCCUUCUACGCUGCUGAAAUCAUUUUCUCCUGUAAGCGAAAAUUUAGCGGCGUUUAAUCUAACAAUUACACUGGUGGAUCUGAAUCAUUUGGUUCUCUCAAUUCCAUUGGUUUUCCCUUUUAUUUCUAUUUAUCUGUAGAUUCUAUUUUUCUGCAUUUUCUUUUCAAUUUUAUGCCUUUUUUUUCUAACAAUUUUUUUAUUUUUGUUGUGUAGUUAGCAUGCUUUUCUUACAUUUUGCGACCUUACGAAUUUGAAACUGUAAGCUUAAGCAUGUUAGAGGUCCAAUUGACCCAAUUCAAAGCUCAAAGCCCAAAAACCCUAAGUUCUACAAGCUAGGGCUUAAUAGCUUACCUCUUGAGCUACACCAAUGAGAAAAAGAGAGGGAGGGGAAGAUGUCCAAGGUCUUCAUCUUGAUCUCCUUCUUCUUCUCUUUCUUUUCCUUCUCUUUUCUUCUUCUUCCUCUUCUUUGUUCUUUCUUUCCUAAAGAGAGAGAGAGGGAGCAAGAGAUAGAGAGAGAGAGAAAUGAGAGGCUGAGGGAGAGAGAGGACCUAUAUGCCUCUCUAAUGUAACAAAAUCUAUUUUAGCCCCUCAACUUUUCAUCCUAUACACAGCCUUUACUGGGCAGUUUUCGCCCGGAGGGACCGAUCCCUCAUCGGGGAGACCGGUCCUCGAAAGUAGUCCUCGCGGCCAGAGGGCCUCUUCGCGUUCGGGAACCGGUGUCUUCCCGGGAGACCGAUCCUCGGGAGACCGGUCCUUGCCUGAGAGACCGGUCCCCGAGAGCUUGAUUUUCAGGACUUAGCCGAUUUUGACCUUCUCUCGCUGGCGUCGCACACGGGGACCGGUCUCUCUCAGCCUGGGACCGAUUGCAUCAAGAAUCCCCAGCAACCACCAGCCUCGGGGACCGGUCUCUCCCUGCCAGGGACCGGUCCCCGAGAGCAGAAUCUGCCCAGUGCAGAUUUUCGCAUCAUUGCUCUCGUGGACUCAAUUCUAAUGCACUUUUUGUGUUUUGGACAACUUUAACUUUCCCGAAGGAUUCUCACUCGACAAGUAGUCAAUCCCGGAUGAAGUACAACUCUCGGAUUGCGAGAAUUCACUUCCUUACAUCCUCCCUUUCUUAAAAGGAGUUUCGUCCUCGAAACUAACUCAAUUCUUUACUUAACUUAAAUUUUUACCUCAUUCCUCAAAUAGAUGAGGAUGGUGCUUUCUCAUUAGAUCCUCGAGUUCCCAGGUGGCUUCGCGAUCAUCGUGAUUGCUCCACCGAACCUUCACAUAGGGAAUUUCUCGAUUCCUCAGCCUUCGCACUUCUCGGGCGAUAAUCAUCACCGGAAACUCUUCGUAGCUCAGGUCUUCUUGAAGUUCCGAUGGCUCAUAUAGCAUCGCGUGCUCGGGGUCGUGAAUAUACUUGCGGAGAUUGGAGACAUGGAACACAUUGUGUACAUCCGCAAGCUUCGGCGGCAAAGCAAGUCGAUAAGCCACCGUGCAAACUCGCUCCAAUAUUUCAUAGGGUCCAAUGUACCGGGGACUCAACUUUCCCCACACUCCAAAUCGCUUCACAGCCCGCAUCGGUGAAACCUUCAAGAAUACACGGUCGCCCACCGCAAACUCUAUAUCUCGACGGCGCCUAUCUGCAUAGCUUUGCAGUCUCGACUGCGCUGUGAGCAAUCUCUUGCGAGCAAGGCGGACUUUCUCCUCCGCUUCUCGCAAAACAUCGGGGCCGAACUCUGCACGCUCACCCACAUCGGUCUAAUGUAUAGGAGACGGACACGUCCGCCCGUAAAGCGCCUCGAACGGCGUCAUCUCCACACUAGCAUGAUAACUAUUGUUGUAGGCGAAAUCGGCCAUAGGUAGGUGAUCAGACCAACUUCCCUUAUAGUCAAUAACACACGCUCGCAACAUAUCCUCCAGAGUUUGAAUGGUUCUCUUUGUUUGCCCAUCGGUAUGAGGAUGAAAUGCGGUGCUAAAGUCGAGUCGUGUGCCAAGGGCUUCCUGCAGGCUCUUCCAGAAGUGUGAAGUGAACCGGGGGUCACGAUCCGACACGAUCGAUUUCGGCACCCCAUGCAGUCUCACUAUCUCGUCGAGGUAUACCUGCGCUAACUUGUCACCCGACCACGUGGUGUGGAUCGAUAAGAAGUGAGCCGACUUCGUCAAUCGGUCCACAAUUACCCAAAUCGCAUCAUGGCCGCCAGUUGAGUGAGGCAAGCCGACCAUGAAGUCCAUUGAUAUGUCCUCCCAUUUCCAAACGGGGAUUGGUAGGCUUUGAAACUUUUUCGCUGGAAAUUGACGCUCGGCCUUCACUUGUUGGCAUGUUAAGCACUUCGCCACAAAGCGUCCAAUAUCACCCUUCAUUACUGGCCACCAAUAGUGCAUUUUUAGUCCUUGAUACAUCUUGGUGCUACCCGGGUGAUCGACAUAUGGAGACCGAUGUGCUUCUUGCUCCAUUUUUCGGCACACACCAUCGGUUUCGAAGCCGAAGGGUACCACCGGCAUCUAUACUGAAAUCGCCGCCUCGACCUCCUCGAUGUUUUGCCGCACCUUGGAGUUCUAGGUCUGCGGGUUGCAGAUCUUUGAUUUUCUCCAACAAGGUCGGUUGGACAACGAGCGCCAUCAACUCGGCCGGAAUCUCGGGAGAAACCACCUCAAGGUUCAUCCGCUCCAUGUCUAACCACAAGGGUGUUUGAUUUGUAACCCACAUCGAGAGGUUCUCCGUCGACUUCCUACUCAGCGCAUCAGCGACCACAUUCGCUUUUUCGGGGUGGUAGAGGAUAUCGAUGUCAUAGUCCUUUAACAGUUCUAACCACCGCCGCUGUCGCAUGUUGAGCUCUUUAUGUGUGAACAGAUAUUUCAAAUUCUUGUGGUCGGUGUAAAUCUCACAAUGGGCACCGUACAGGUAGUGCCUCCACAGCUUCAAGGCGAAAAUUACCACCGCUAGCUCCAAGUCAUGGAUGGGGUAGUUCUUUUCAUAGCUCUUCAGCUGACGGGAUGCAUAAGCAAUCACCUUCCCGUUUUGCAACAAAACACACCCUAAUCCUAGAUAGGAAGCAUCGCUGUAGACUACGAAGUCUUCGCCUUGCACUGGUAGAGCGAGCACCGAAGUUGAAGUUAAUCUCUGCUUCAACUCUUUGAAACUCCGAUCGCACUCCUCGCUCCAAACAAACUUGGUGCCUUUCUGAGUCAGGCGGGUAAGUGGAAUCACUAUCUUGGAAAAGCCUUCCACAAACCGCCUAUAAUAGCCCGUCAAGCCCAUGAAGCUUCGAACCUCCAUGACAUUAGUCGGGCGCGGCCAAUCCUUGAUUGCCUCAACCUUCCUCGGGUCUUCUGAAACUCCACCCGCGGAAAUCACAUGCUCUAGAAAUGCGACUUCUUGGAGCGAGAAGUCACACUUCUUCAACUUAGCAUACAGCUUCUCCUCCCGAAGGGUUUGAAGCACUAUCCUCAAAUGCUCGGCAUGUUCCUCGUCACUACGAGAAUAGACCAAUAUGUCGUCUAUAAAGACCACGACAAAUCGAUCCAAAAACUUCCUGAAGACACGGUUCAUCAAGUCCAUGAAUGCCGCUGGAGCAUUCGUGAGUCCAAAUGGCAUAACCGUGAAUUCAUAGUGCCCGUACCGCGUACGAAACGCAGUUUUCUACACAUCCUCCGCUUCAUUUUGGCAUCUCGGUGGACCCGAAGAAAGUAGAGGCAAUUAAAGAUUGGCCUCGCCCGACGAGUGUAGUGGAAGUCCGCAGUUUUCUUGGAUUAGCGGGCUACUACCGGCGGUUCGUGGAGGGGUUCGCUGAAAUAACCACUCCGCUAACGUGCCUCACGCACAAGGGAGUGAAGUAUGUUUGGAGCGAUGAUUGCAAUCGGAGUGUUGAAGAGUUAAAGGAAAGGUUGACGACAACACCGGCGCUUUAUCGACGCCGGGGGAGACAUUUGUGGUAUAUAGUGAUGCUUCCUACGUUGGACUCGGAUGUGUUUUGAUGCAAAAUGGGCAGGUGAUAGCGUAUGCUUCGCGCCAAUUGAAGACUUAUGAAAAGAAUUAUCCGAUCCACGACCUCGAGCUAGCGGCGGUUAUUUUCGCACUAAAGCUAUGGAGUAGGGGUGGAAACGAGCCGAGCUCGAGCGAGCUUACCUCGGCUCAAAUUCGGCUUGAAAUUAAUUUCGAGCCUAAAUUUAAGCUCAAGCUUGGAUUGAAAUUAAUUCGAGCCAAGGUCGAGCGAGCUUAAUUUCAAGUCGAGCGAGCUCGAGCCCUAAACGAGCCGCUUGGAAUUCUCAAUAUUAUACGAUCAAUGGUUUAAUUUGUAUAGAACAUUAUCUAUAAUUUGAUACAACAAUAUAUCUAAUAGUUCAAAGUACAAAAUAAUUAUAUAAAAUAUAGUAUUAUAAUAUGAAAAAAAAAUAAUUUAUGAGUUGAAUAUCUAAUUUUUUUAGCCUCACAUGUCUUUUCUUUCGCCUUCAAUCUCUAUAUUAUUCAUUUUCAUUUAUGCAGUCAAAAAUAAAUAAGUUAUAUAGAUAAAUAUUGGAUUAAACUAUCCAAUCAUAUAUAACUAAAAUUAAAAUUUUAUAUGAAUAAUAAUUUUUUACUUUAAAAAUAUUCUGUAUAUUUUCUCAAGCAUACAAUUAAUAGCAAGGUAAGCAACGGCGGGCAUAUGAUGUUACUUGGUAACUUAGAGGGCUUCCGGCUUGGCCACUUAGAGUGAGAGACAGAAAAAGAGAAAGAGAGAAACAUAUUGAAAAUUUUUAGCUCUGUGAAAGAAAGAAAGAAAGGAAAAAUAUAUAAAUUUAGUAAAAUUUUGCUCUUUUAUUUAUCUAUUGGGUUUGUUUUUAUGGGCCAACAUUGGCCCAAUUUUAACUAAACUCAGAUUAUUCACUCAGCCUAUAUAUAAUUAAAAUAUAUUAUAUUUAUAUAUUUUUUAAUAUAUAUAUAUAUUGUGCAGAACUACUAUGCUAUCGAAAAUAUAGAGGAUUUAAUGUUUUUGAAUUUUUGACCCUUUGAUUAAAAAUUGUAUGGUUGGGAUGAUUGCUGUCUCCCCUAGGAUUAAAUAAUACUCUUAGGAUUGAGUAGUCCCUACAAGGUAAUAAUAAUAUUAAUCCAAAGAUAAGAAAAGAUUAAAGGGAUUGAUCUAAGAAUCAAAAAAUUGAAAGCACCGGAUCUCUAUACUUUCGAUGGCAUAGUAGCUCUACUAUAUAUGUAUAUUCGAGCUUUUCGAGCUUUUCGAGCCUAAUUCGAACGAGCUGAGUAAUACUCAAGCUCGGCUUGAAAUGAAUUUCGAGCCUUUUUUUUUGUUCAAGCUCGACUCAUUUAAUUUCGAGUCGAGCUCGAGCAAGCCAAAUAUCGAGUCGAACGCGAGCCGACUCGCUCAUUUGCCAGCCCUACUAUGGAGGCAUUACCUAUACGGGGAACAUUGUGAGAUAUAUACGGAUCACAAAAUCCUAAAAUACUUGUUCACCCAAAAUGAGCUAAAUAUGCGACAACGGCGGUGGUUAGAGUUGUUGAAAGACUACAAUGUUACCAUUCUAUACUACCCCGGGAAGGCGAAUGUCGUGCUGAUGCACUUAGUAGGAAAUCGGGAAAAAUUUUGGCUUUGGCAAUUACAACCCAACCAUUAUUACAAAAAGAGAUGCAACUGCUUGGUUUGAAAGUAGUAGCGUCGGGAGUGCCGGCUACACUUGCCGCGUUAGUGGAGCAACCAACCUUGUUGGAGAGGAUAAAAGAGCUACAAGCUUCCGAUGAGUAUCUCCAAAAGGUGCACGGUGAAGUUGAGAGCGGUAGUGCCGAUGAUUUUGGCAUUGGGACCGACGGUACACUUCAAUUUCGAAAUCGUUAGUGUGUACCUAAGAACAAGGACAUCCGCAAGGCGGUUAUGCAAGAAGCGCAUCAAUCUCCUUAUAGUAUCCAACCUGGCGGCACCAAGAUGUACCAAGAUUUGAAAUUGCAUUAUUGGUGGUCGGGCAUGAAGAAAGACAUUGGGGAGUUUGUUGCGCAAUGUCUUACUUGCCAACAAAUAAAAGCGGAGCGGCGGUUUCCGGCGGGAAAAUUACGAAGCCUACCUAUACCCGUUUGGAAAUGGAAAAAUAUCGUGAUGGAUUUCGUGACCGGUGAUGGAUUUCGUGACCGGAUUGUCCCAAUUUCAAGGUGGACAUGAUGCAAUUUGGGUGAUAGUAGACCGGUUGACGAAGUCGGUGCAUUUUCUACCGAUUCAUAUUACAUGGUCAGGGGACAAGUUUUCUCAAGUGUAUCUUGAUGAGGUUGUGAGACUUCAUGGGGUUCGGGUAUUAAUCGUAUCGGAUCGGGACCCGAGGUUCACAUCCCACUUUUGGAGGGGCCUACAGGAGGCAUUAGGCACACGGCUCGACUUUAGCACAGCAUUUCAUCCUCAAAGUGAUGGUCAAUCGGAGAGGACGAUACAAAUGCUUGAGGAUAUGCUUCUGGCGUGUGUACUUGACUACAAGGGCGGUUGAUAUGAUCAUCUACCGAUGGCAGAGUUUGCAUACAAUAAUAGUUAUCAAGAGAGUAUCGCGAUUGCGCCAUUCGAGGCUCUUUAUGGAAAGAAGUGUCGCUUUCCUAUACAUUGGAGUGUUGUGGGAGAGAGUGUGACUCUUGGCCCCGAUGUGGUGCGAGAGGCGGAGGAGAAAGUUCGCCUUGCCCUCCAAAGACUUGCUACGGCGCAAUCUCGGUAAAAGAGCUAUGCCGACAAGCGGAAAAAAGACAUAGAGUUUGCAGUUGGCGACCACGUGUUCCUAAGGUAUCGCUGAUGCGAGGAAUUAGACGGUUUGGGCUCUUUGGGAAGCUAAGUCCCCGGUACCUUGGACCGUUCGAGGUAUUAGAGUGGGUCGGCGCGGUGGCGUACAAGAUAGCAUUUCCAUCGACCAUUAAAAAGUGUCAAAUUUGUGACCUCUUGAUCGUAAGGUAAAUUGUAACGUAUCAAAAUCUCGAUAGAAAAUAGUGAACUUUAGCCAAAUUGACUAAAAUGUGCAAAUGGAUUAAUUGGGCGAGUUCCAAUUAACCUACCAACAAUGUUGGAAGGGUUAAAAAUGAGUUCUAGAGGUGUUAGAAAGGUUUUAGCAUCGAUCGACGCGAAAUAGAAUCGAAAACGGCGCAUAACCAGCAUUCUGGGCAAAGUGUACCGGUACAACCAUCGAGUUGUCACCGGUACAGCCCUGCAGACCGAGAAGAGUUGCUCUCGGGUUUGAGUUUUCGCAGAAGUGUACCGGUACACCCCUGGUGUGUACCGGUACACUUUGGUAAAAUUCGAGGAGUUUGCUCUCGGGUUGCCUCUGCGCAGAAAAUGUACCGGUACAAGAACUCGUGUAUCGGUACACUUUGGUCUGGCAGCACAAAAUAGGUUUGCUACAAAUACAGGUGUUUGGAGGGUUUUGUUGUAAUUGUUACAACAUGUUAAGACCCCAAUAUCCCUUCUCACUCUCUCCCACAGCCAUUCACUCCCUCCCUCUCAUUUCUCUUAUUUUCUCUCCCUAUCUCAUUUCUCUUAUUUUCUCUCCCUAGAGAGCUCUCCAAAAGGUGGAUUUGGAGGAGAUUUGAAGGAGAAGCUAGGAUUUUGGUGGCUUGGAGAAGAUCUGGGGCUCUCCUACAAGGUGGACCUUGGAGAGCUUUGGGCUAAGGUGAGGUUUUAUGAAAAACCUAGGCUAGGCUUUUGGUUUAUGUCCUAGAAAACUAGGUUUUGAUCUUCUAAUGAGUAUAGAACCUAGUUGGAGCUAUAGAACACAUGAAACCCAUGAGAGCUUCAUGUGUUCUAAUGGUGGAUUUUUAGGGUUUGCAUUCUAAACCCUAGAAAUGGUUUAGAUAGUUCUAAAUGAGCUUCUAGAUGUUGGACAAUCUCUCUUUUGCUUGCUUUAGAGAUCAAAACCUAGAAUUGAGCAAAUGGCAUUGUUAGGGCAUAGAUUUUGGGGCUUUUGCCUCCGGUUGUUUCCGAGGUAAAUUGACCUCUUGGAAACCUAAUUUUGGGUAUUCCCGACGCAUGGGACAACUCCGUUUGACGUUACGAAAAGGUCUAGAUAAAGUUAUUGGAAAAAAAAAAGCCUAAUUUGGCUUCGUUUUGCCGCAGGUGAGGGAAUAGGGCUUCAAAAUUUUCAAGAAAUUUAUUGUAGCAUCCCUACAACCAUCUAAGGUGGGUGGUGCAUUCCGAAGACCUCGGAAUUCCUUUUAUGUCUAAAGUGUCAUAUUUGAGCAUAUGUAUGUAUUUGAGCAUAUUGCAUAGUAGGUUAAUUGUGAGCUUCUUAUGGCAUGUUAUGAGUACAAAUGCAUGUGAGUUACUAGUAAGAAUGUGAAAAUUUUAUAAACCCUAUUUAUGCAUGAGAAGUGACAAGAAUUUAGUGAACUAGAAAACAAAUGUGACUUAUUGACAUAGAGGUAGAGAAUGGCAUUGACGCGUCAAGAUUGCUAGAGUGGAACACUAGAAAACAAGUGUGACAUGUGUUCAAGAACAUGGUACUGUAUAUGACACUAGUGAAAGUAAAGAAUGCGAGUAAAAGUGUGAUAGUGACAUUAUGACAAUUUCAACCUUAGAGUUAAGGGUCCUAGUGCAUGGCUUCCUUAUAGUUAAGGAAUGGAUUGACACUAUAACAAAAAUGCUUUUGAGUGGCGGCUUUUUGGUGGCGACAAGUACUGUCGCCACCAAUGUAUUAAAUAUGGUGGCGACAUUUACUUGUCGCCGCCAAUUCAUAGAAAAUGGCGGCGACAUGUAAGAGUCGCCACCGAUACGGGAUUCUUUGGCGGCGACAUAUAGGAGUUGCCACUGAUGCUAAAUCUUUGGCGGCGACAUAUAAGUGUCGCCACCGAUACUGGAAUAUUGGCGGCGACAUAUAAGAGUCGCCGCCGAAAAAUGAGUAUUAGUGGCGAUAUUUGUCGCCACGAUAUCUCCUUAUUUACCGCGCACAAGUUCCCUCCUUUUUUUCGGCACUCACCUACUCUAUGCAAAAAGACCAAUUUACCCUCUGUUAUUUUAUAUACAUUGUAUUAAAUUGUGGGGGCUUUAUUAUCUUUUUACAUUUAAAAAUAGUAAAAAAUGUUAACCUGACUUCUAAACCCAUCUCAAACCCAUAGUGUACAUGGUCUCGAUCACUUUUCUCUCUCUCUCUACUUUUCCCUAGCUCUUCGUCCCUUCCGCCCCCUCCACCUGCGGCUCCAGCAAGCCCCGCGCCUCCCCAAGCCCCGCACCUCCGCCAAGCCCCACGCCUCCCCAAGCCCCGCGCCUCCGCCAAGCCCUACGCCGCCUCCGUCUUCAUCGGAAGCGAACCUCGGUCCUUCGCCGCCUGCCGCUCUAGCACCCCCACGGGGGGCUUCGCUGCAGGCCAGCAGCACCUCACGGCGAGCUUUGCUGCAAGCCAGCGCACCUGCGCGUCACCUCGUCGAGCCGCACCUGCGCGUCGCCUCGUCGAGCCGCAGGCUCAUCUACAGAUCCAACCCAACUCCUCCACCAUGUAACCCUCCCUCCCUCCCUCCCUCUCUGUGCCCUAAUUUUCUAAUCUAUUUUUCCCUUUUUUUUUUUCUUUUUCUCUUUAAAUUAACUGGGGAAUCAUCCCACUAUCCAGACCUACGAGGUGUCAUCGUCGUGGUGGAAAUCGCUGAGAAAUUGCUGAAGAAUCGUAGGUUGCUGAAUUGGGGUAGUAAAAAUUACUAAAUCACUCUACUCUUUAAUAUUUUGCCUCAGUUUUUAUUUUUUUUCUAAUAUUUAAACGUUAAUAAAUGUAGGUCGGGUGGUGCACGAAAAGGGGCUUUUGCCACAGCAACGUGAGAAUUCAAUUACUCGGUUUUAUUUUAUUCUAUUUUAUUUUUUCUGGUUUCAUAAUUGCUGAAGCAGCUUUUACUAACUAGUAGAAAUAUAUGGCUAAUAAUAAAUAAUAUUCGACCAUCAAAUUUCAAAUUUGUAUAUAUAAGAUUGCUUGACAAUUUUACACAUGAAUAUGAUAGCAGUGUAUAGCUAAGAUUUUGCAAUAAAUUUGUCUGCUUUAGUAUUGAGAACCACCCUCGAGGUUGACCCACCUGAAAACGGGGACCGCCGCUAGGCCCAGCAGCGCCAGCUCCUAAAGAAGGCAUAUAUAUAUAUAUAUAGCUAAAGUUUUAUUUUAGGUUAUUACACUUCUAUGUGUGCAGAAACAAGUCCUUAACUUUUUGCUAUGCGUGCUUAACUUAGUCCAUUUUUAUCUACUAUUCCUUCUCUAUCAUAAUGAGAUGCAUCAUAAAGUUCAAACUGUAGCAAAAUUUAUGAGAAUAUAUGUCACGCCCCGGGACCGGCGGAGGCCCUCCCGGUAGCGUGCCCAGACCCGCCAUAUGCCUACACAUAUAAGGCGUCUACAAGAAAAGCGGAAGUAAAAGCAAGAGAUGGAACAAAUAAAAGAAGUGAAAUAACAAACAACUAAUGAUAUCAGAGCGAGUAAAGUUCUAACAUCUGUACUAAUAGUAAUAGAGCAUAACUAAAACAUAAAAGUAAACAUAAGAUAUGUAGUAUCAGCCUCUAGUACAAAAGUGGCGGUCUCUAGUACACAGGUAAAACUCUCAACCUCUCCAAAAUAAAGUACAACGAGAGGUAGACCACCUAGCGAAUCGUCCUCGAAGGAAGCUAGCUCGAAGCAACUCCCUUCCCACGGUCCCUAGCCUCUUCCGGCGUGGAAGGCUCUGAAAGAAAACACCAAACAGAGGGCGUGAGAACUAUAAUUUAUAGUUCCCAGUGGGCAAUUACUGACCUCAGCUCAUCGCACCACUAGGCCCCAAGAAAAAACGGAGUGAGUAUAAAAAGAAACAACAAUAAGGAUAACCGUAACAACAGUAAGGAAGCAUAAUUGAAGUGCUAACCUAUAUGUCCCAAGUAAGCAUGAUGCAUGGUGAUGUACAUCUAUGCUAUCAUAAAAUAAUAUGUCCAAUGCAUACCAAUAUGUCUCAACAUACUAAACAAGUAAACCUCACGAUGCAAUAUGUCAAAGCAUAAGAGUAAACACUAUCCAAAGACCGAGUAUACUACUAUGCAAUAAUGAAACCGACAAGUAUACUAAUUGUACCAAUGCUAUAUCAUGAGCAUGUCCAAGCAAUCCAACUACUAAUCCUAUCUAGUAGUGAUUGACCAUAUGUCACACCGUGUCGAUUUCCAUUUCCAAUUAGGGACCCAACCAAGGUAGUCCAGCUUGUGCCGCCUAAGUGCCUGUGGUAGCCCAACAUCCCUACUCUUGGAAUGUGUCUGUCCCACUCGACCCCGUAGGCUUCUCAGUACCGCACGAGCGAACAUAAGUCGCGUAGGCUAACUCCGGAGUGCCGGCUUGUAGGGAGCGACCCUCACAAGCAUGUGCGAAUGAGCACAAAUGGCAAGCAAGCAUAGUCCAAAUCUCAAGUAUCCAAUCCUCGUGUCACUAAGUGAUGUCCCAACACUCACUUGCUUAGUGCCUCUUUAUGACACUUAAGCAUCACAACAGAUCCAGCCCCAAUCUUGUUCUAUGUUUCCAAUAAAACGUCAAUGCCAAUGAUUACCAUGACCCGGGCCCAAUGCCUCUUCAUGACAUUGUCCCAAUUCUCAAAUAGUCAAAGUUCUCAAACCCUCUCUAGGCUUCUAACAUUCCUAGUGUCACAAUUGGCAUAUAGGUUAAAUACAUGAAGCAAGGUUCAUUUACAUAAUAAGGAUCGUGGUUCCCAAUCAUAAACAGAAUGCUAAGUCUCACAUGCAUGCACUCUACCACAUAGAGGUCUAAAAUUUCACCAUACAUAACAUAUGCAUGUUAAGCAUUCUAAAAUUCAUAUUAAAUACAUUUAACAAGGAAAUGCAUGAAUUUCUAUUGUACGAAACAUAUUUGCCAAAUAUGAGCAUUUCUCAUAUCAUAGGCUAGGUCAAACCCACCGAACCAUCGCGUAGGGCCUCGAUUCGCCGAACAAAGUUGUCCACGAGCCUCAAGAUAACCUAAAAGUGAUCAGCGAAGAGAUACGAGGGCAUUACAACCAUCUUAUAAAAUCAAAUAUUAACCUAGAAGCAAAAAUGGCCAAAACUUACCUCAGGAGUAGAAAUUUCUUCCAAAGCUCCAAAAGAGAGCUAGAACCCUUCCAAACCAAGCCCAAGGAAGGUUCUAAUCCAAUCAAUCUAGCCUCAAAAGCCCUAGAUCAAAAAUGCCCAAAUAUGAGCCCUAAAACCACAUUCUAGGGUUUCAAAACAAUAAAACCUCAAAUCCAAGGUCUAGAUGGAGAGAAAGGGCUACCAACCUCUAAGAAGCUCCAAUCAAGCUCAAAGGAUGAAGACCUUCCCCUUUGCAAGCUCCAAGUCCAAGCCCUCAAGCAUCAACAAGGUAGGAAGAGGAAAAAGGGGGCAAAGAAGUGCUCCAAGUCCACCAAAACCCUCUCCUUCUCCUUCUUCUCCUCCUUCUUCUUCUCUUUCUCCUUCUCUCUCUAGCAAGGGUGUGGGGAGAGUGUGAGGAGAGAAAUGAGAAAGAGAGAGGGUGGAAGGGCUAUUUAGGCCAUCCAAAGUAACAAAAUCCCAGGAGGUCCCUCAAAAAUCCAAUAUUACAUCAGCCCGGUCUGGGCAGCUUUCGCCCAGAGGGACCGGUCUCUCCCCAGCAGGGACCGGUCUCUCGCUGCGAACUCGAAAAACCAUCGUUCGGGAACCGGUCUCUCCCUGCGCGGGACCGGUCUCUCUCUCUGCGAAAACGCGCUCGGGGACCGGUCUCGCCCGCCAGGGACCGGUUGCCUCAAGGCUGCCGCAAUACUGUUCACUAGGGGACCGGUCUCUCCUUCCAGGGACCGGUCCCCGAGAGUAAAAACUCUCAGGAUUUGUCCAGAAUUUCAGUUUUCGAACUUUUUAGGUCGGAGAACAUUCUACAACCCUCCACUAAGUGUGGAAAAGCUCGAAAUACACCCAAACACUCGAACCUCGCAAUUUGCAAAGGUCCAGUGUGUUACAAUAUAUAUAUAUUUUUUGAAGUAAUAUGAGAAACAGUUUUGAAAUAACAUAAGAGACCCAUGUUUGUCUAAGUGUUGUCUAAGGUUCCGUGCCUCGACCCCAAAAAAAGGAUGCCAAGUAAAGCAUAUAAAGAUAUUAUGAAAAGAGUUAUGAAUGUUCGAGUGUACUAUAAAUAUGGCCGGAACCAUACAGAGAUACUCAAAUUACGAUGUUUCAGUUUUCUAUUUAGUAUAUAUCUUGAAAUUGGUUCAUAUACAUACACUAUCCUCUUGCUUUUUGUGUUGAGCUCGAGAUGGCUCCUCACAAGUCAAUGAUUAGUUAUUCUCAUUGAUGUUGAUAGAAGUUAUCACCGAUCACUGAUUUGUAUUAAUAGAUAGAACUACAAUGUUUUCUUGAGUGAAUAAAUUUUGAACUACAAGUUACUUCUAUCAAUGUUUAGUAUUCAAACUGAUAUACAUUGUGUUUUUAUUAUAACUUUUUGAAGGGACCUUCUAUCUCAUUAUUUGGUUGCCACAAGAUUUUCAUUGAGAAGGAUAGGUGCCCAAGCUCGAAAAGAGAAGUGUUGACGGUGAGUUGACUAUGGACAAUGACUUCGCUUUUUAUUCCAACUACAAAUUUCAAAUAGCAAGUUUAAACAAUACUCUCAACACCCUGCCGCUAGGUGCGUGAUUAGAUCAAAUCAUAUGUAGUGCGCAAUGUCAUCUUCCUAAUUAUUGUUCUCGUAUUGGUGUUUGAUCAACAAUCGUAUGCAAGUGAUUGUUUCAGUUGGUCCUCAUAUUUGCUAGCUAGCUACUGCUAUGGAAUUUCAUACAAAAGGUUGCAAUGAAAAUUUCUAGCUAGCCACAUAUAUAUAUAUAUAUAUAUAUACAUGCCUUCUUUUCCUUUUUGGAAUGAUCAGAGUGCGGGUUAAAUAGCAACGUGAAAUAAAACUUUAGGUUAUUACACUUCUCAUUUUGCAAUCAUAUAUGAGCAGUAUAUAUAUAUAUAUAUAUAUAGAGAGAGAGAGAGAGAGAGAGAGAGAGAGAGAGAGAGAGAGAGAGAGAGAGAGAGUCCAGCUACUAUACUAUUAUGAGUACGAUCGCCCUCGUACUGAUAAGUUAUUUUUGAUGAUAGAGCUUCCGAAUCGACGAUCCACACCGUUAAACGUUAUCUAGAGCAUUUGAAACAUCUAGAAAUCAAAUUUCGUAAUUUUUCGACAUCAUUUACCUUACGAUCAAAAGCUCACAAAAUUGAUAAUUUUUAAUGGCCGGUAUGGAAUGCUUGCUUGUUUGACGGUGCAAAAGAAUCCGAAUAGGUUGAAUUUUUGAUAGAAAAUUCUAUUCACUACCUAGAUAAAGAUCAAUAACUCCGAUUUUAAAAUUUCUGGAUCCGAUCAUUCAUUUUUAAGACAUCGUUCGAUUUUGACUGUUCAUUUUAUGCCCGCUUGAUGGACUUUAUUAUGAUUUCGAAAAAUUACGAAAUUUAUUUUCUAGAAGUUUCAAAUACUCUAGAUCAUAUUUAACGGAGUGGAUCAUCGAUUCGGAAGCUCCAUCAUGGAAAACAACUUAUGAGUACGAAGGGCCCAAUACUCAUAAUAGUAUAGUAGCCCUACUCUAUACAUAUACAUAUACAUAUACAUAUACAUAUAUAUAUACACACUUCUUUUCAAGCAUGCUUUUUAAAUAUUUAUUCAUAGAUCCUAUGAAAAUCUUACUUAACUGCGUAAGUUUCCAUGCUCUUAAGUACUUUGCCAUAUUUCUAUGCAAAGGUUGAUGCGUGAGUAAUUAGUCAAAAUUAUCGAUAGAAGGUUAUUGUUUAAUGAGUUAGUUUGUUCUGAUCAUUUGAGCCUUUCCGCAUGAAACCCUUGUCGGUGUCUAUGUUUGUUUCCGUGUGUUUGAUUGUUGUUGAGUUAUUUCUAGAUAUAUAAUGUACCAAGGCCUCCUUUAUUAUACUACUGUUCUGUUUGUUUUCUUAAACUUAAUAUAUAUUUCAUCCAAAGGAGUAUGCAUCUGCACUGUCGUGUGACCGAUAGUUUGCAAUUCACAUAUCUAUAGAAUUUUUGGCAAUAUAUAUCUAUGUAGAAAUUAUAUGCGAUUAGAAGCCCCCAAAAAAACUCAAUCUCUCUACUGCUUUAACUGCUAUACUUUGAACCAACUUUCCUUUUUAGAGGGUUAGUUCAUGCUCUCCAUGUUUUCUUAAUUUGCAUGCAAAUUAAUACUUUGUUUUUGCUACAUGUAACUGUAGUAUAAAUGUUUUCCUCCCUUAAUAUUUUCUCCUUUUGUCUUCUUUUUUGAAAAUAGAUUCUUGAUGAUCUUUGAUUUCUUUCCACUUCACACUGUUUCUUAAACUUUGCAAAUAUAUAUGAUUCAGUUGUGCAUCUUCGCAUCGAAAGCGUGAGUCUCACAGAGAGCCUUGUUGACACCGGCCUGCUUCUUGAAGACUACGCUAGGUGCCUUCUUUACAGUCGUUGUAAGUCUAUUUGCAUGUGAAACUACUUUAUAGCUGUACUUAGUAAUUUUUUUAUCAAAUUUGGUGUACUCUAUGAUUGUGACUUGGUGAUUUCUUUUUUAGACUCAAUGAUGUAUAAAAAAUUAGUCAUGAGAUAUUCAAAAAUACAAGUAAACUUCAAUAAAAGACAAUUGAAUGUAAAUCAAAAUUGAAAAAUCUCAAAAGACAUUUCUUAUGUACUUUAUUUGAUUUUUAGAAAUGCUCUAUGAAGCAAAGCAACUUACACUAUGAUCUCCUGAUAAUUUCAAAAAGAAGUUCAUUGCACAGAGUCAAGACCUGCGAAAUGUUAUAGCUUACUUUAAUCAAAAGAUACACAUUUAUUUAUAUGGAAUUAACAUGUACUAGUAGUUUGUCAAAAAGCUAAAUGAAGAACAAGCAUCCUGUAUGUCCAAUGUUUUAUUACCAACCUUUCGAUUAAUAAUAAUUAGUAAUUUGUCUAUUCUAAUAUACAUGAUUACAUCAUCUAUAUUUGGUUUCUAUAGGUUUUUUGCAUAGCCCUGUAUUCUAAAGUCUAUUUGCUAUGAAACAAGUAGAAGAGUAAGUAGUUUAUAUGAACUAUAGUGCAUUUUGAAAUGGAUUGUUCAAUUUUAAUAAUUUUGGUUUGACUGUAUUAUCUUAUAUUAUGUUUAAUCAUUUCAAUAUAGGAGGAUGGGAAUUGAUAAAAGCUGGAUGAGUCUUAGGAACCGAUCAUGUAAUGAGUAUGAAAAGGGCAUAGACAUAUUCUUAGAUUUUGCAUUUAAAAGAUUGGAAAAUGUGAAAAGAAUUCGUUGUCCAUGUGCUAAAUGCUAUAAUGUUAGAUUCAAAAGCCGGACGGAAGUGAAGUACGAUUUAUUUCGUAAUGGGAUUAUUCAAAAUUAUACUAAAUGGCAUCGUCAUGGUGAAUUGUCAGAUGAAUCUAGUGAAAGUGAUGCGGAAGAUGUCAAUAUUCCUAUAAAUCAAGGCAGUAGAAAUAUGGAGACAAUGCUUGAUGACUUAUUUGGGCAUGUAUCGAACUCCUCAAAUACUAACACAAGUGAUGGAGAGUGUACUAAUCCUGAAGAUCCUAUUCCUGAAGCGCAAAAUUAUUAUCGAUUAUUAGAAGAAUGUAGACAAGAUAUAUAUCCGGGAUGCAAACGAUAUUCAAAAUUAUCUUUUCUAGUACAUUUGUUGAAUCUCAAAUGUCUCAAUGGUUGGACUGAUAAGUCAGUUACAAUGUUGUUAGAGUUUUUGAUUGACUUGCUACCAAAUAAUGCAAACAUUCCAAAGUCAUAUUAUGAGGCACGAAAGAUAAUUAAAGAUUUAGGAUUGGAUUAUGUGAAGAUUGAUGCUUGUAAGAACGACUGCGUGCUCUUUCGGAAGAAACUUGCAAAUAAUGAUACAUGCCCUACAUGUGGUGAGUCUAGGUGGAUCUCGAGCAGCAGAGAAGAAGAAGCAAACUCAAGAAAGCGAAAACAAAUUCCUCAGAAAGUUUUGCGCUUUUUUCCACUUACAUCGAGAUUGCAAAGAUUGUACAUGAAUAAAGAGAUGGCCAGUAAAAUGAGGUGGCAUUGUGAUGGUCGACAAAACGAUGGAAUUUUACGCCAUCCUGCUGAUUCAUUGGCUUGGAAGCAUUUUGAUCAUAACCAUCCUGAGUUUGCAAUAGAGCCACGUAAUGUAAGAUUGGGAUUAGCAAGUGAUGGAUUUAACCCCUUUGGAAAUAUGAGCACCACACAUAGUGUUUGGCCUGUUAUUCUAGUUCCAUACAAUCUACCCCCAUGGUUGUGUAUGAAAAAUGAUUAUUUCAUGAUAUCACUGCUAAUUCCUGGUCCAAAAGCUCCCGGUAAUGACAUUGAUGUAUAUCUGGAACCUUUAGUUGAUGAGUUGAAUGAUUUGUGGAAAGAAGGGGUUAGGACAUAUGAUGCAUCCAAAAAAGAAAACUUUACGAUGCGUGCUGCUAUUUUUUGGACUAUAAAUGACUUUCCAGCAUAUGCCAAUUUGUCUGGUUGGAGCACGAAAGGAAGUCUAGCAUGUCCUUGUUGCAACAAGGAUACCGUUUCGAUGAGAUUGAAGUACGGAAAAAAGUUUUGCUAUAUGGGUCAUCGUCGUUUUUUGUCGCAUGAUCAUAAAUGGCGAAAUGAAAAAAAAACAUUUGAUGGAACAAAAGAGAAUCGUCUUGCACCUAAGACUUUAUCCGGUGAUGAAGUACUACAACAAUUGAGCCAAAUAAAGCAAGUAAUUUUUGGAAAGGUAAAUAAGAAAAGGAAACGUUCUCAACAGGAAAUAUGCUAUUUAAAUUGGCGAAAACAUAGCAUUUUCUUCAACCUGCCAUACUGGCAUACAAUGUUGAUACGACACAAUUUGGAUGUUAUGCAUGUAGAGAAGAAUAUUGGUGAUAAUCUAAUUGGCACACUAAUGAAUAUAGAUGGAAAAUCCAAAGAUAAUCUAAAUGCACGAAAGGAUUUGAUGGCGAUGGGUUUAAGAACGGAGCUUCACUUGAUACCAAUACAGGGGAAGGCGAUAGACAUACAGAACAGUGUUCAAACAAUUGGUAACAGCAAACCAUAUAAAAUGCCUAGUGCUUUUUACACACUAUCGAAAGAUGAAAGACAAUCAUUUUGUCAAUUUCUAAUGGAUUUGAAGCUUCCAGAUGGAUUUUCGUCAAACAUUUCUAGAUGUGUCUAUAAACAUGAAGGUAAACUUCAAAACUUGAAGAGUCAUGACAUUCAUUGUUUAUUACAUCGCCACCUCCCAUUAGGUAUUCGUGGAUUGUUAAGGAAGGAUAUUUCUAAUACCUUAAUUGAGUUUAGUGCCUACUUUAGAGAAUUAUGCUCAAAAUCAUUAAGAAUGAGUGAUUUGGAACGACUUGAAAACUCAAUUGCAUUGACUUUGUGCAAACUUUGAGAGAAUAUUUCCUCCCACAUUCUUUGAUAUAAUAGUUCACCUAUCAGUUCAUCUUGCAACUGAGGCGAAAAUUACUGGCCCUGUCCAAUAUAGAUGGAUGUACCCAUUUGAAAGGUAUAUUUUCUAUUCUUUAUAUAGAAUACAUACAUACAUACAUACAUACAUACAUACAUACAUACAUAUAUAUAUAUAUAUAUAUAUAUAUAUAUAUAUAUAUAAAUAUAAAAUUGUUUAGAAGAACAUGGUAUUAAUAUUAUAUUGAAUAGGUACUUGCGCACACUAAAAUCAUAUGUUCGUAAUAAGGCUCGUCCAGAAGGAUCUAUAGCAGAAGGAAUAAUUGCACAAGAAUGUGUAACUUUUUGUUCCAAAUACCUGCAUGAUGUUGAAACACGAAUGAAUCGCGUCGGAAGAAACUAUGAGGGUGAUCUAACACAAAAAAGCUCCAGCUUAGCAAUUUUUUCCCAAUGUGGUCUCCUUUUAGGUAAUUCUAAAAUUGAGCAAUUAGCUAUCUCGGAUUGGAACCGGGCAACUAUGUGUGUUCUAAAAAAUUGUGAAGAAGUUUCACCUUAUGUUAGGUAAGGAUUUCUAUAAGCGGUUCUAGACAUUUCUGGUUUUCUCUUUAUAUAUUUUUAAUAUAAUCUUAAUAAUUUAAUGCAUAGGGAACAUAUUGAAGAGGUUCAAAGCAAGUACGAUAGUGAUGUGGAGCUGCGGCACGAAGAACAAUUUCUUGGUUGGUUUCAAGCUAAAAUAGCGAAGAUGUUUGAUAACCGAGACAAAACAGUGUCACAAGAACUAUUACACCUUGCUCAAGGUCCAGAUAAACGGGUGAAUAAGUAUACUGGAUAUUUAAUUAAUGGAUUCAGAUUUCACACAAAGGAGCAUGAAAAAUUUUUGAAAACACAAAAUAGUGGGGUGUUUGUUCGGGGAGAUGAUGGCCUAAGCAGCAAGGAAUACUAUGGGUUAAUUUUAGAUAUCAUUGAACUCCAAUACCAAGGAUCAAAAAGAAUAGCUUUAUUUAAAUGUCAUUGGUGGGAUGUGUACAAUUGUGGCCGGGGAUAUAAGGAGGAUGAAAAUGGGUUUUUCUUAGUUAAUGUCGAUCGUGAAUUGGCCACUAAUACAACUGAUCCAUAUAUCUUGGCAUCACAAGCUCAACAAGUAUAUUAUGCCAAAGACAUAAGAGAUCCUAAAUGGUUAGUUGUUGUCAAGACACAACCUCAAGACCUUUAUGAUGUGCCUACAAUAGAAACAAGUGCAAAUGAUCAAGAAGAGUCAACAUCAACACCAAUUCAAGAAAAUGAGAACAUAGGUGAUUUCUAUAGAAUUGAUGGUGAUAAAGAUCACGGUGAUUUAUGUAAUGUUGACUUGGCUAGAGCUAAUGUAGAAGAGAUUGUAUUUGAUGUAAGUGGGCUCAAUAUCAAUGUAGAAACAAACGAAGAGGACCUCUUAAACUAUAAUGAUGAUGACAAUGAUUCCUUUGCGAAUAAAACUUGAGCCACCUUGCUUUUUGGUAAUGAUUUAUUAUUUGUUUGUCUUUUAUAUUUUUAUGUGUAUUUAUUGCUAAUACUUGAUUUGCUUGCUUUUAAUUUAUAAUAUUUGUCUAUUUAAAUAAUUAAUUAUCUAUUGUUGAUAGGCAAUGGUGGGAGAAAGCAAGAAGUCUAUAGUACAAGUUAACAAGUCUAAUAGAGUCUCGACUUCAUCACGAAGAACUUUGGAGUGUCGAUCUGAAAAGCCAUGGCUUAGAUCACAAUCUCAAAAUUCAGAACCUACUCCACCUCUCAGUGAAGAUCCACAUGCUUCCACUCAUCUUCCUUCAACUAUAAUUGAUCGGUCGUCAUCUCCAACUACUGCUAAUCUGGACACUAACGCUACAGGUUUUGUUAAAGAAUUAAUUUAGUGUUAUCAAUUAAAUACUUCCUUACCUUUUUCCACUAGCAAAUGUCGAAAGAAAUCCUGUGAUGCAUAGGAAAAUCAAUGCAAGAAAUAGAUAGAGAUAAUAGUCGUGUAGCUGCUGCUGCCAGCCAACUGCAGGUCUGCUUGGGUCGAGCUGUGGGCGGUCUUCAGCUGGCAGAAUUUAUUACAGAAAUGGGAGUCGUGUUGCGACAAUAUGCACCACUUAAUGUUAACAAAUGGGCUGAAGUACCUAUGCAUUAUAAGGAUAAGAUGUGGGAUGAUUUAAUGGUAUGAUAUUCAUUUUAAAUUUUUUUAACCAUUAAAUAUACUUCUUGUUUGCUUGUUUAAUCAUAUUAUAUGAAAUCUUUGAUUAGUUGUAUGUAUUUAUUGUUUCUUAGGAAAAAUAUGAUGGGCUUGCUGGUUUUAAAGAUGAAGUGAUGUAUAAUUUCAAUCAUAUGUAUAGAGAUUGGAGACAUCGCAAGCAUCUACAUUAUAAUUAAUUUCUAACAGAUGAAGAAAGGCUACAAAAUUGUCCAAAUGAUAUUUCAGAAUCAGAUUGGGCAUCGUUAGUUGAAUAUUUUGGUUCUGAACAAUUUAAGGUUAUUAAUUUAUUAUACAUGUUAUUAGCUUGCAAGAAUUAUUUUUACAUGCAAAUAUGACCCUACUUAAUUUUUUGUAGAGAAUGUCGGCGCGUAAUAAAGAAAAUCGAGCAAAACAAUCGACUAGCUCAAUCUGCGGACGAAAAUCAUUUGCUACAGUCCUAUAUGAUAUGGUGAUUUUGUCAAUUAAUUCAAUUUAUGGAUAUCUUUUUAUAUUAUAUUAAUUUUAUGACAUCAAGGUUUUAAUUUUAAAUUGAUAGAGGGAUCCAGAAACGGAGGUUGAUCCUGAUUUAACUGAAUAUUGGAAGGCUACACACCAGCGAAGAACUGAUAAUUCUUGGUGUUCUGAGAAGGCUCAAAAUGCUAUGGUAUAGUAACAUUCUUUUGUAGCACAACUUUACUACAUUUUCUAUACAUACAUGUAUUAGACUUGUAAAAUCUUAAAGAGAAAUUCAAUUUUAAUUAUACAUGUAUUAGACUAGUGAAGACGAGCAAUUUUCUUCUAAAUACAAAUAUGUUUCAUAUUACUUUUGUAUCUCAUUCAAUGCAGCAACAAUUUGAGCAUGUAAGAAAAUCACAAGAAGAGUUAGGUGAUCGUCCAUUAUCAACGGAGGAACAUUUAACAAAGGCUUUUGGUGCACGAUCGGGAUAUCUUCGUGGUUUAGGAUGUGGACCUAAGCCACUAAGUAGUAAGAAUUUGGAAGCUAAAGCAUCAAAAGAGGCUAUUGAGAGACAAAUAGAAGAAUUGAAGAAUGAGCUGAAGCAAUCAAGAGAGGAGAAUGAAGAGCGAGAAGCACGCCUACAAAGGGAAAGAGAUGAGAGAGAGAGAGGAGAGGUUUAAAAAAGAAAUUGAAGAGAUUAAGGCGCAUUUUAAAGCUGAAUUUAAUGAACAAUUAAAGUUAUUUGUUCAGUUAUAUGGAGCACCGACCACAUCAUCCCCUCCUUCCACUCAAAAUCAUUAGUGGAAUUUCUUAAUUGAAGGUAACUAUAUAUUCUAUCUCAUGUUAUCUUUUGUGCUUUAAAGUAAAACUCCAAGUGCGUUGAGAAUUAGCUUUUGAUAUGCAAGUCAGUUGUUUGCUCUUGUGCAAGAAGUGCCUAGAUUACAUUUAUAUGUUUAAUGCGCUAAUUUUGGUUGGCUAUUUAGUUUCCGCUGCAUUAUGUUGUUAUCUUGACCAGUUCAAGUUUUUUUUUUACUCUUAUGCUCACUAUGAAUGUUAACCCACAUACUGCUGCAUUAUGGAAUUAGACUAGUGAAUCGUGGUGCAUGUAUGUAUGUAAUGCACAGCAGUUGCAUGUAAUGACUUUACUCAAGCCAUAAGUAAUGGAAAGGAUAAAAGUGAAACACUUCCUUCUUCUUUUGCAUGUGUAUGUGUGUGAAAAAUUUGUCAAAGAGCACCCAUAGCUCUAUUAUUUAAGCAGUGUGCAGAAAAUGAUAACAAUCGAGAAUAUCCACAGAAUAGUUCUUUAGGUUUCUCCACUUUGUCAAGUUGGAAUUGUCCCGAUAUUUUGAUGCUUCAUACCUGCGGCAUCUUGUGAUACUUGGUUUUGCGUUGCUUUAGUAAGCUUGUCAAUGUUAUUUGAUGAGAGCUGUUUGGACAUUUAAAGUAGUAGCUUUUCACUACAACAUGCACAGCAUCUUUUUACUGCAGUAAAAAUAAAAGAUUUAAUUUAAAACUUCUGUUUUUAUAGUUUUAAACAAAAUAGCUGCGUGUUGUAGAAAAAGCUUUAGACUCGUUUGCGUGCGGAGUAUCUAUUCUUGAGUAGAACUGUUCCAAAAGUGUGACCAAAGAACAAGGCCUAGUUUGGAUGUUUCGUGUUCAUGGCUUUCAAUUUAUGCUUUGAUGAAUUUGAGAGGUUCAAAACUGCUUUGAAACUCUCCUUAAAUGGUGGUGGCUCGGAAUCGCCACUCUCAUCACUCAUCACUAUUUUAUCACUCAUCACUUAUUUUUACAAAAGCAACAACUAAUUAGAAUUGUUUUUUUUGUUUCUCAUGCAGGGUCGAGAUGUCUACAUCCUGGUAAGCUUAUUGUCUACAUCCUAGUAAGCUUAUUUUCUUGUUGUUGCCUUCUGAAAUGCAUAGAUCCAGGAUAUGCUUGGUUUGGUUUUGUUUCUUUUAUAUUUGAUUUGCCUUCUGGAAUGCAUAGAUCCACAUCAGUAUUCGUUUAGCAUCAAAUUUUUUGAUUCAGAAACUUUGACUCAUCAAAAGUUUGAGAAAGAAACAACAAACUAGUUUAGCUAACACUGCCAUAGUUUAGCUAACACUGCCUCAACUUACAUUGAAAUUUUGAAUGAGUACUUUACUAGGUUGGUCAUUAUUAUUAGAAAUUAAGCCCAUGAAAAUUGAUCAUGAUGUCUAUUGUAUUUUGGAGUUUCAAUUAUAACAAUCUAGCUCUCCAAGUUCAAGACCAAGAUUCCAAUUUGGCAUCUGAAGUCCUAAUCUAUGGAAAUUAAACCCAUGAAAAUUGAUCCUGUUGUUGCCUUCUGAAGAUGGUGUUGACACUGCACUUUUUUUCCAACAGUAGAUCAACAGAUUGUCUUACUUGUUAUGUAGGGCAAACUUCAAGAAGAUUGUCAUAAUCCUAACUACAAACAAAAUUGAAAUUGAGCCCAUAUGCUAGCUAUUCGAGUAGAAACAGGGGUCGUUUGCUGUUGCUCUUGUUUUUGCUUUCCACAACAUAUAACUGGCUCUAAUCAAGAGUUUCCGCUGCAGCGAAAAGUAAUUAAAAUGCGGUUCCGAGUCUGAAAAACGAAAAAUGAAAUUUAUUGCAUCUGGGCAGAAGAAAAUGAUACUAGUACUUUAACAUUUGUUUCUUCAUCUCCUUCUGAUUCCGACGAUUCAAACUCCGCAUCAUCAAUGGUUCUAGUCUUUGCUCUUUGUGUCUGUGUUGUUGCCUUCCUUCUUGCAUUCCACCUUGCCUGCGAUGUAGCCCCAGUAGCUUUUCCAACUUGACCCCAAGUCAAUCCUUCUCCAGGAAAGACUUCUUCAUUUUGAGGAGUAACAUUCGAGGCACAUAUUGAAGUGGGAGCUUUCCACUCUGACUCUGAGACUUCAUCUUCGUCUCUAUCAUUUAGGGCAAUUGGAUCUCUAUUCCUGUCGGCUUGUCUCAAUCUGAGCCUUGCAUUAAACUUAACAAAGACAAGAUCGUUCAAACGCUUUUGCUCAAGUCUGUUUCUCUUCUUCGUAUGUAUCUGAAACCAAAAAUAAUAUUGCAACUUAUUUGCUUCAUGAAAAGGCAUAUAGUGUACUUGAAUAGUUUAUCAAUUAACAAGUCAAGUUUAGCAAUGAGAUGUUUAAAGAAAAAUCACUGAAUUAAUUUUUUAAAAAUUUAGAAGUGCUUAAAUGUAACCGUUAGUACUUAACAACAAUUCAAUAUUAUCCAUACAACUAUAAUUACCUGGAUUAAGAUUAGGCUUUUGUCUUGUCGUAUCGCAAUUUCCCUCCCAAAUGAUCCCGAAGCAGUUUUGUACAAUGGCAAUUCUUCAAGUAUCUUAUCUUGCUUACUUGGAUCAUUUGGAUAAAAUUUCAAUAGACACUCAAGCACACCAUCCAUGAUACUUGCAUUGCUAUCAAUUUCAUCUUUUCUGGCAUAGUAAAAAAAGGGAUUCAAGAAGUAGCCUGCCUUGUGUAAUGGAGUCUUAAGCUUGUCAUUAAAUCUUGAGUCGAUAAUGUUCCAAACAGGACGAUAUUUUUUCUCAUCAUCGUCCGUAGCUCAUUCCUCUUCAACAGAAUGCUUUGCAAACUUAGAAAAGCAGUAGCAAAAUGAGUAACUCCGGUCCUUACCAAAUCUUUUUUUUGGGUGAACUUCCUCAUCAUGCUGAGCGUGAUCGUAUGCCCAUACAAGAAAACUGUCACCAUUCUUGCCUUAGUAAUCGUAUUUUUUACUUGCCGAAACUUUCCGAUAUCUUCAAGCAUUAGAUCAAUGCAGUGAGCGGCACAUGGACUCCAAAAGAUAUUAGGACGUUCGGCUCUUAAUAAGUUUGCAGCCGCCAUGUUCGCUGAUGCAUUAUCGGAGAUGACUUGAACCACAUUUUCCUCUCCAGUCUCAUCAAUACAAGAACUAACCAACUUAAAUAUAAAAGGACUAUCAUGAACCUCCGAAGAAGAAUCAAUUGAUCUAAGAAAAGAAGUUUCCAACUCACAAUGUACCACCAAGUUCAUCAAAUUCCGACCUCUUUUAUCGGUCCACGCGUCCGCCAUGAUUGAGCAUCCAUUUGCUUCCCAACAAUCCCUAUGAGUUUUCAAGAAUGCUUUUGUCUCUUCUACUUCUUUCUUCAAUAAAGGUACUCUAAGCUCAUAUGGUGUAGGAGCUUUCAAUCCCCGACCAUAUUGUCCAAUUGCUUCUAGCAUCAAACUGAAACUUUCAAGACUAGCUGCAUUGAAAGGAAUUCCCGCUUCGUAAAACCACCGAGCAAUGUAUUGAAUUGUUCUUUCUCUUUCUUUCUCUUUCAAUUUCUCAUUUAUAGUAGGUUGAACAUCCUUGCCCCUUCGCAAAGCUUCUUCAGGAGUGGGGAUGCAAAACCUAUCAAUGAGUCCUUUCUGUGUACUCUUGCUCGACCCAACACAACUUCUUUUAGAAAGUAUUUCUCCUGUUUCAUAAUCUAAAUAGUCUUCCAUGUCAGUGAUAUUAACCUCACCUCUUAAUUGCUUAAGAGCUUCUUCCUUGUGCUCCUUCAUUUGUCUCUUCACUCCAAUAAGUUUAGACAUUUCUUCUUUUACUUUUUCUGGAACUUGCGCACAAGGAGCAACAUCCCCUCUAAUUCCUGCCAAGUGCCUCUUAAACCUACUUAUCCCACCAUUGUACUCAUUUUGACAAUACUUACACUUCACUCGAGUUCGAUCCUUCUCAAUUGGAGGAUAGGCAUGUUCCCAACCUGGAUCUUGUGCUUUUUUUGACAUUAUAAUUUAUAAAGAGUAAAAUAUAAAGUGCCUGCUUCAUAAUAGAGUCAAUGUCAGCCAUUGAAAUUUAAAUAUAGAGCAGCAGUAUGCAAAUAAAACUAGUAAAUGGCGCACGUAAUGAUCAGCAUGCAUGAUUCGAUAUACAUCUAAUGAUCUAAAUUUUUCUUAGCAUGCUUUGAUACUAAAUACUAAGUAAAUAGAAAGUAUAAUGCGCAGCUAACAUCGCUAUUGGUCUUUUAUUAUGUGAGCAGGGAGACCAUCAAGAAAGAAUAAAAAAAAACAAGUCCAAAAAAUGACCAAAAGAGAGGAAAGACCGAAAGAAAAGAGAGAAAGAGAGAGAGAUGAAGAAAGGCCAUGCACUCGCUAUGCAUAUGCUGAUUUAGCACUAGAGCAAAGAAAUAGAGAAAAAGAGAGGAUUAGAGGAAAUAAUCAUACAGAAUUAGAAUUUUUUUGUCGUUGGAGAUUGUUUAUGGUCGCCGGUGAGCCCUCCUAGUCGAAGACUGGUCGCCGGUGGGCCCUCUUGGUCGCUGGUGUUUGUUUCUACUUCGCGUGCCCACAGAAGCUUCGAAACCCUAGAUUGCUGCUGCUCUUUUUGUUGGGCUUUGAUUCUCUUUUAAAACAGAUUACCUUUUUAUAUUCCAAACCCUCAGAAACAGGGUUAUUUCUAAGGAUCCGACCCGACCCGAUAAGCCAAUUAAAUCCAUUUGCUCAAUGAGUAGUAUUUGUUGGGUUCACUCAGAAGAGUACCCAGAACUGAGUCAAAUUCCAGCUGUAGCCACUUCUCCGUAAGAGAAAUAUUUUACGACUUAAUUUGCAAGUUUUUAUUGUUGCUUGUUCCAUUUGCAUCACCAACUUAGGCUACUUUUCUAAGUUGUUCUCUAAUCUGAUUUUCCUGCUACUUAUUAUGUGGUAUUGCAACGAUGCAAUUAACUAUUUUCUCUCUCUUUUCCUUCAUACUGCUUGUCAAAUAUCUUAUCUUUAUGUGCUUGUGCUUGCAUUCUUUUCAGCAUCUAAUUUUUUGAUUUGCAUUGCUUAUUUCUCAUUCCAUUCAUGUUUGUAUGCAAAUGUACGAUGCAAAAUGUGUGUGUUUGUGUGCAAAUUCACAUAUUGUUUGAAACAAUUAACUCUAAAUGCUUAAACUGUUAGCAGAUGGAAGGACCAUGUAUGUUUUAUUAUAAUAAUCGUCCCUGUUAGGUUUGGUCUUGCAACUCUUAAAAUGCCUAUGUAGAAGAAUCAGGAAUGGAAGGGUGGGGUUUUAAAACUAAAAAGUGGAUUGGUCCAGCUACUUUUAUACCAUGUGAAGUAACCAAGUCGUAUAUAAGCUGAAUCUGUUCGUGAAAAAUCAGCUUGUAUUUUCAUGCCCGACACAAACAUGUAUAGACUAAAGGAUGCGUGAUUUCUUGACAUUUAACUUGAGUUUCAUAUACUUAUUAGGGAAAAUGAAAUCUCAAAGUUACUCAGUUUCUUUGUUACUCUUAAUGCUCGAUAUUUGGUUAUAUGAACUAAAUUAAUGUCGGUUUCUGUCUGUUAUAUAGUUCAUAGCCAACAUUGUUAUCUAUGUACUUGGCCUCUUUAUUCUUAUAUUGUUUGCAUAAAUUCAAGGAUCAACGAAUGUUGAAAAACUAAUUUUAUUUUUUUUUAUUUGCAGAUUUAUAAGAGGUGGUGACAAGAAAUAUUUUGGCAGGUCAUUGGCGAUGUAUUGAAUCAAGUUUAAGAAUUUAGAUAUAUUUUGAAAACUUUGAUAGCAUGUGGAAAUGACAAAAAUAUUAUUAUUGUGUUUUAUUUUUUGGUUGUGUUGAAUGAUUGUAUUACUUAUAUAUGAUGAUUCAGUCUUACUUAUAUAUUGUCCUAAACUUCUUUCUGUUGUGAGAGACAAUUCGAUGCAAAAUGUAAGAUUUCUGCUUGUUGAUCUUGGUUUGUUUGGAAAGCUUUUUGUCAUAUUUAUGAGAAUUGGCUUUCUUUGUCCUAAAUUUUAUUUGGUUUUGAGAGAAUUAGAUUAAAAUUAAAGGUUAAAAUUUAAAAAUAAAAAAUUUUAUAAGUAUAGGUUAUUUUUUAGCAUUUUAUACUAAAUCAAUAAUAUCUAUUACUAUCAAUUAUUUUUUUAAAAAAAAUUAAUUUUAUAUCAGAAAAAUGGUGGCGACAAUAGUCGCCACCAUAAAACUAGUGAUAAAAUAUGCUGUAAAAUUUUCGCGGCGACAGUGGAUGUCGCCGCGAAUUAUCCAACUUUUAGUGGCGACAAAUUGUCGCCACCAAAUAUUCCGAUCUAGGUUCAAUGGUUAAUUAUCUAACUUUUCGCGGCGACGGUGUGUCGCCGCUAAUUAUCUAACUUUUCACGGCGACGAAAUGUCGCCAUUAAUUAUCUAACUUUAGCGGCGACGGAAUGUCGCCGUUAAUUAUCUAACUUUUCGCGGCGACGAUAUGUCGCCGCUAAAUAGUUUUACCGACAGGGUUUUAGGCGGCGGCAUGCGGCGACAGAUUGUCGCCGCUAAAACCUUUUUGGUGGCGACAAUUGUGGUUAUGGUGGCGACAUUUGUCGCCACUAAAUCUUAUACCUGUAGUAGUGAUAGAUUUAGAUAUUAAUUAAAGUAUGAAUCCUAAAUAUAUUAGGAUUGUGGUACGUUUUAAGUUGAGCAUUAUAAAUAGGCAUUGUGACUCUCUUUUUUUGGAAGGAGUACAGCUGGAACCAUUGGGGUGUCGUACCAGAGAGAGAAAAAGAGAGAGAGUUAUUUUAGUGCACCUUGUGCAUGGGUGCACGCGGAGAGGUCUUCGUGGGUUUAUAGAAGACGAGAGAAUGAUAGAAGAGAUUCAAGAAAGAGGGCUCGAGUUGUAGCUACUCUGUGCAGAAGAGGAGUCAGGCGUAAUCUUCUCUUAUUUAAUGAAUCUUAUUUUACCUGCAUAUUUUUUUCUUUUAUGAUUGUAUCAGCUUUUGCUGAGGAGACGGGUUUAUGGUAAAAACCCGAUUUGACGUUUCCGUUGCGGAAUCCCAACAAUCGAUACCGGAUCCACAGCAGUCAGUACGGAGCGGGUUACGGAUUCACGAGAUCCGAUACCGGGGCGAGUACCGGAUUCCCAAUAAGUGGUAUCAGAGCCGAAGGUUACAGAUCUGCGGGAGAGAUCGACGGAGAUAGCCACGAAAUUUGAAAUCGAGNGUCACGGAUGCGGCAUGGACGAAGAUGGAGCGGAAGGCGCUGAGUACGCUUCAUCUAUCAUUAGCAGAUGAGGUUCUUUACAAUGUAGCCGGCAAGACGACACCGACGAAAUUGUGGAAGAAAUUGGAAGAUCUGUACAUGACCAAAUCCCUGACGAACAGAUUGUAUCUGAAGCAGCGACUGUUUACGUUGCGGAUGCAAGAAGCGGCGAGCCUACAUGAUCAUCUAAAUGAGUUCAACAAGGUGGUGGCCCAGUUGACCAGCAUCGGAGUCAAUCUGGAUGACGAAGACAAGGCGUUGAUCCUACUAUCUUCGCUACCGACGACAUAUGAGCAUCUGGUGACCACGUUGCUUUAUGGCAAGGAGUCCAUAAGCGUGGAGGCGGUCACGACGACGCUUCUCUCGAACGAGAUGCGGAAGAUGACUCAGGAGUCUGGCACGCAGAGCUGUGAUACUGCUCUGGUGGUGAGAGCGAAGAAGAAGGCGACAAUAUCGGCGAUCGGAUAUCGACAGAAGAAACCGCUAUCUGAGGUAGAAUGCUUUUACUGUCACAGGAAAGGGCAUAUCAAGCGCAACUGUCGAAAACUUCAGGAUGAUCUGAAGGAGUUAAAGCGACAGAAGGAGCAAACUGUAGUGAACCAGGACGAGACGAUAUCAGCGACGGCGCAGACAACAGAGUCGGAGAUGAUCGAUUCUGAUGUGCUGUUUGCGGCGACCGGAGGUGCGAAAAUUUCGGAUGACGCGUGGGUGCUCGAUUCGGUGUGUUCCUUUCACGUAUGCCCGGAGAAGGAGUCUUUUGACACCUAUAAGGCGAUCAAAGGUGGAAAGGAGCUGAUGGGGAACGGGACAGUGUGCAAAGUAUUGGGGGUCGGCAUAGUGAAAAUCCGAAUGCACAAUGGGAUCGUGAGGACGCUGAGAGGUAUGCGACACGUUCCUGGAUUGAAGCGGAAUUUGAUCUCGUUAGGCGCAUUGGACUCGAAGGGUUGCGAUAUUUCAGCUUCAGGUGGAGCUAUGAGGGUCCGAAAUCGAGAUCAGGUCAUAUGCGAGGCGAACAAGCAUGGGAACUUAUACGUUCUGAACAGGAGCACAGCCAGAACGGGAGCGAAGACGGUUUGGGUUCCAAAAGUUCGCGGAUGUGCAGUUGCUCGAGACGGAGCAACGGAUGCGGCGACAUCAAGCGGAGGAGACAAGCUCAAGGUGGAGCUUGCAUGGUGAGCUCGACGUAGCGGUUGAAAAUUACAAAUCAAACCAAGGUGGAGAAUGUUAGGAUUUGGUUAGAUUUGUAGUUAAAUUCUAUUUGGAUAAGAAUUAAUAUUUAAAUCUGUUUGAGAUAAAUUAAGAUUUAAAUAUUAAUUAGAGGAUAAACCUAACUAGAUUAGGAUUAAUAUUUAAAUCUAUUAGAGAUUGAUUAAGAUAGAUUUAGAUAUUAAUUAAAGUAUGAAUCCUAAAUAUAUUAGGAUUGUGGUACGUUUUAAGUUGAGUAUUAUAAAUAGGUAUUGUGGCUCUCUUUUUUUGGAAGGAGUACGGCUGGAACCAUUGGGGUGUCAUACCGGAGAGAGAAAAAGAGAGAGAGAGUUAUUUUAGUGCACCUUGUGCAUGGGUGCACGCGGAGAGGUCUUCUUUGUGGGUUUAUAGAAGACGAGAGAAGGGUAGAAGAGAUUCAAGAAAGAGGGCUCGGGUUGUAGCUAGUCUGUGCAGAAGAGGAGUCAGGUGUAAUCUUCUCUUAUUUAAUGAAUCUUAUUUUACCUGCAUAUUUUUUUCUUUCAUGAUUGUAUCAGCUUUUGCUGAGGAGACGGGUUUAUGGUAAAAACCCGAUUUGACGUUUCCGUUGCGGAAUCCCAACAAUCGAUAUCGGAUCCACAGCAGUCGGUAUCGGAGCGGGUUGCGGAUUCACGAGAUCCGGUACCGGGGCGAGUA